rnacentral:misc_RNA from 1 species
UUAAUUUUCAUUCGAAAAUAUUUAGUUCAGACAAUAUUUUAAAAGACUGGUUUAAAUUGGUGCCAUCGGCAGGCUCACAGCUCAGCUGUUUCCAGCUGGGACCUGCUGCCGAAGCGUAAGGUGUUUGGUUCACAAAGGGUUGAAGCGUGCAACCGGCCUGAACCGGAGCAGCUAAAGUUUGGUAAUGAUCCUUCCGCAGGUUCACCUACGGAAA